CUAAUAAUGUAGAUAUUUUAUAUUCCUGCUUAAUUGGUUUAUGAGGUCAAUGAGGGUUUGAAAGGAGGAAGGAUUGACGAUGUUAGUCAACAUAAAGCACUAAAAUAUCUGUUACAAAUGAAAUUAAAAAAUAGCUAGUACAUGAAGUAAUGCCAAGAAGAAGAUGAUCUUACAUCGAUUUAGUAUUAGCUCCUGUCACAUCCUUGAGGGAGAAAAAACUCGGAGUAUACACAACUGCUUUAGAAAUAAAUCCCACCCUAUGAAGCUUAAGAGUCUUCAAUUCUACACUUUUAGGAUCAUAAUAUAUUAUCUGGUUCUCAAGGAAUAUAAAAAAUUUGUCGCAGCAGCCUAUCAGCUGGAAAUAGCAAGAAUUCCACCUCCCCAGUGUUGGAAACUUGAUAGAGAUCAACCUUGACCAAGAUUUUUGAACACCGCAACUCUUCAUUACCCAUAUGUCAAUCAAAUCAACCCCAGAAGUAGCAGAUAAACAUAGA
rnacentral:lncRNA from 1 species